rnacentral:rRNA from 1 species
GAUGAACGCUGGCGGCGUGCUUAACACAUGCAAGUCGAGCGAGAAAUCUUUAAACAAAUCUUCGGAAGCGUUUAAAGAUGGACAGCGGCGGACGGGUGAGUAACGCGUAGGCAACCUACCCUAUACAGAGGGAUAGCCUCGGGAAACCGGGAUUAAUACCUCAUAACACUUUAGCAUCGCAUGAUGCGAAAGUCAAAGAUUUAUCGGUAUGGGAU